rnacentral:misc_RNA from 1 species
AACGCACGAGACCUGCGGACCUGCGGAGGGAUCAUUAACAAAUUUGUUGAGCGUAUACAAUUGUGAACAGGCCAGAGUUUGUAUCUGAAGAAGCAGAUAAGCAAUUAUUUGUGUAGCUAAAGAAGCAGAUGAGCAAUUAUUUGUGUAGCUAAAUAUUUGUGUAGCAGAUGAGCAAUUAUUUGUGUAGCUAAAUAUUUGUGUAGCUGAAUAUUUGUCUAGCUGAAUAUUUGUGUAGCUGAA